rnacentral:tRNA from 2 species
GGGGGCGUAGCUCAGUCUGGUCGGAGCAAUGCACUGAUAAUGCAUCGGUCGCUGGUUCAAAUCCAGCCGUUCCUAC